rnacentral:rRNA from 1 species
AGUGUAGGCGGCUUCGUAAGUCGGAUGUGAAAGCCCCGGGCUUAACCUGGGAAUUGCAUUCGAUACUGCGCGGCUAGAGUCUGAUAGAGGGAAGUGGAAUUCCAGGUGUAGCGGUGAAAUGCGUAGAUAUCUGGAGGAACACCAGUGACGAAGGCGGCUUCCUGGAUCAAGACUGACGCUGAGGCUCGAAAGCGUGGGGAGCAAACA